CGUAGCACCUGUCCUCCUUCCACCUUCCCCUCCACCCAUCUGGCCUUCCCGCUCGCCUCUUCCCCGCUCCCCACGCGUCUCCUCUGGUGGCCGCCUUCGGCGAGUGGAGUCUGUUCCUCACUGGCUCGCUGCAUUCUUCCUCUGCGAGGUGUUAGUGUGGGGAUGGGAUCUGACAGGAUCGGGACGAGGAGGCGGCUGUGAAGUACACGUUCUGGAGCUGCGCGUGGAUGCGCUCAUUGCCGAGGCCGAUGCCGCUCUUUCUGGAGGCCGACGCCGCUCUUUCUAGAAGAAAUCCCUCGGUGUCAAGCGGGGUGACGUGGACACCUACGUCCUUCAUGUUUGGGCGCUGGAGGGCGACGGGAGGCAUCGAUUCGCCGUUUGGCUCCUGCACUAGGGGACUGCGGCUGCUACAAAAGAUGCAGCAAUUGGAAGAUGCACAGUAACGACUGAAACUAUUCGAGGACAAAUCUUGGAUUGUUGUUGUCGUUGGAAUUUAGAGUUGCAUGGUUGGCAUGGUCAACAUGGCAAAGAAAGUAUAGAAGAUUUGCCAAACCAAGUAUGGGCUUGUAGAGUACCUCAGCUUGUGCAAUUGGAUUUAUGUUGGUCAAGAACUGGUCAACGAUAAAGGAGAACAAGCAUUGUAUUUUGUAUUACUAUUCUAUACAAACUUUCUUCCCACACCAUUAUGUAAUCUUUCCCUUUUGAGGUUGCAAUAUGAUCUCUGCUAACCAGAUUUUAUAUAUGAUCACUGCUAAAUUACAACAUAACGCCAAAUGUACAAGUAUCCUUUGCAGAA